UACGGGGGGGGGCAAGCGUUGUUCGGAAUUACUGGGCGUAAAGGGCUCGUAGGUGGCCAACUAAGUCAGACGUGAAAUCCCUCGGCUUAACCGGGGAACUGCGUCUGAUACUGGAUGGCUUGAGUUUGGGAGAGGGACGCGGAAUUCCAGGUGUAGCGGUGAAAUGCGUAGAUAUCUGGAGGAACACCGGUGGCGAAGGCGGUUCUCUGGGCAUUACCUGACGUGAGGAGCGAAAGUGUGGGGAGCGAACAGG
rnacentral:rRNA from 1 species